UCCUGUUUGACUGUGGAUUUGGGUCAGCCCACAGGUUAGAAAGAAAUGAUGCCUUUGAAGGCAUUAACCAGGAACCAGCGCCAAAGGUGCUUGGCUUGCUUAGUCAUUAACACCAUGAUGAGAUCAGAAAUAAAAGGGAACUUUUUCAAGAGCGCCUAUGGGGAACAGCUCCAGGAUACCCCUGAACCCAGCUUGGGGCAACUGGAAAUGGUACUGCAAAGCCCCGGGUGCCCUGGGAGAAUUUAGAAAGGCAAGGUGCAGGGAACUGUUUGUCCAGAGCACAGUCCAAGUCAGGACGCUGUCCACCCAGCUAUUCCUAAUUAUUGCUGUGUACAAGGCCUGGCCCCAUACCACACUAUAGAUGGAGUAUACCACUCAAUUAACCUUCUACCUCCUCUAUACUCUAGACUACAUACAGCUGGGGUAAACUUGCAUAGAAAUGACACCGCUGCACACAGCUUGGGCAGGAGGAAGUGCCUAGAAUCUAAGGUGAGGAUCUAAUGACUGCCAAUACUGCCACCUUCCACGAAGGACUGCCAACAGGCUGCCUUAUGCAGAUCUCCUGUGGGUAGUCAGAGCUGUUCUGAGUCACAUAGUGACAGCCACAGUAUGCUCACAAGACAAAAGUUCCCCAACAAUUUAGACAUGCAAGUGCUCUUAAGAAGGAUAAUCCCAGAAUAUCCCUAAGCCCAGCUUGGUGCAACCAGACCGGGCACUCCAAAGACCUAGGCACCCUGGUAGUACUCAUAAAGUCAUGGCCAGGAGUUCCUGGGCAUACAGACUCUUUGUCUAGCAAACAGACUCUUUUACUCAUUGGGGGAGCUACCACCUAAGUAGGGUACCUCUUGGGAUAUGUGACCUUAAUUCCCAUCAGCCCAGAGCUCGGGCAUCCUCCGCCACCCCAAAUGGUCCUAAAAAAAACUCUUAAGGUCCUAAAAAGGUGUCUCCCAUCUCUCCAUUCCAAGUAAACAUGUUGGAGAGGCUAAGAGGCUUGUGGUCUAAGACCUACCCCUUACAAACCUGUACGCCAGAGUGAUAACUGACUUUCCUAGGUCAGUUCCCAUGAAGACAAAGAAUUGCCAACCCCAUUACCUGGUGCUGGGACUCAGAGAAUGUUCAAAUAUCAGGAAUGCAGUAAGUUGAUUUUUCUGAGGGAGAGCAAUGGAGGAGGAUAUAGCUGAGAAGAAACAGACCCUGAUCUAUGGUAAUGAUCACACAACCCCAGAGCAUAUUCCACAGAUAAUACCCACCUAAAAGACCGGUUGAGAACUGAAUAAGAAAUUAUAUGCCAAGGCUCCAGGCACAUGAAGGACCCCAAAAGUUAAUAAUAAUGGUGACCAUUCCCAGACACCUAUAGCUCAUACCCCAAUUCUUUGUUGUUGUUGAUGAUGUUGUUCCUGCCUGGGUUCUAAGUCCUAGCCUGGGUCCUUCUCCCACACUUCAUGCCUCACCAGUCACCUCCGGACCCUUCUUCCCAGGCCCAGUGACCUGCUCUUGACUCUGUGGCUCACUCUAUUUUUCUCAAACAUGAGCCUGUGCUGCACAUUGGCAACACCCCCCACCCCACCCCACCCACCCCUGUGGAGUCUCACUGCCCUUGUUGAUGACUUUGUGUCUGAUGAGGUACAUGGGGCUGUGGAAGCUGUAAGAGCUCUCUAACAUCUGAAGUUUCUGUCAGUGGGGGAGGAGCCUGGGGGUGACUGGUUUUGACUCCAGUAGCUGAAAAAGACUUUCAGGGUGGAAGCUACAAGGUUUUGUGGCUUGGUGCCUGUCAGAGAGAUACUUGUCUCAGAGCAACAAUAAACUAGAUCUAAUCUUUAAAUGAUCACAAGGGCUAAUGGCGAAAGUUAGCCCUGUUUCUGUGAGCGGCAAGCCGAGAAUCACACCGGCUUCUCUGUCGUUUGCUUCUUCCCUUCCUGAAACGCUUAUGUUAUUUGGUUCCCAACAAGAACAGGAAAUACAGUGAUCUCACCAAGCUGUUUGCUGUGUACUUAUACAGAGUCCCCAAUAAGGUUUCCUGAAGUCUCACAAGAGUUCUACCAUAGGUGGGCUCGAAACAGGCACUGGCUCCCACCUAUGAUGGGGGGGCCACUGGCAGGCUUUAGGGGAGCAGAUCUGUGCUUCUGCAAAGCAGAUGGAGUCGUCAUCUGACUCUUCCCACUGUCUUCAUCGUCUUCAUCGAGGCUCCAUAAAGCUCUUUGCUGUUGUUCCUAGGCUAGUCCAUCCCCUCUCCCAGAGCUAACAGUGCUAAGGAGCCAAUCAAAUCUAAAGUUACUUUGGUAGUAAAAGCCUCAUUAGCAACAUAGGGCAUGUGUUUACCCACCCUAUAGAAAAGUCUCUUCUGGUUCUUUCCCAACUCCAUUUGAAAAGUCCCUAAAGCCAGCAUUUUGCUGAAAAGGGCGGGUAAAGGCACACAUUAUAGUCUUAAGACUUCCAUAGGGGCUCCCACGACCUUAGAAAGUAGCAUUUUGAGAGAUUUCCCCUCUUGCCUGCUGUGUCAGCACUUUUGGUAGGAAAUGUAGGCAAGGAGGAGGCAGGCUUGGGGAGAGCCAUGGACCACCUAUCUCUUCCUACUAGACUCUGGUAGCUCUUACGGAACACAUGGGGGAAGAAAGGCUUUCUUUGUGAAGAGGAGACCAGGAUUUAGAUGGACCAGCCACAAAUAAACCCCUAAAACCAAAAAACAAGCUACACUCAUGGCCAGCCCUCCACCGAAAGGGGUACCGCUGGAUUCAGAGUACCUCUUUCCUCAUCGGGCUGGCUCAUCCCUGGGUGUCGGGAGGAACAAGACUGGCAGUUAAGUGUUUGACUACAAGAAGAUCAGUGAACCACUGGGAGAGUUGAGCAGACCACACCCAUCUUGGUGACAUCAAACGCUGCAUGUUCACGUGAAUAUAAGAUCUUUAUUUAAGUGCCUACGGUGUUGAAGUUCCAUCAAGGAUUUGGAAGGUCACUGUCCCACCACUCCUGCCAGUCAGUGAUGAGUGGCUGGCAGCCGGAUCCGUGGUGUUCAUACAUAAGGCAGGAGAAUAGAGAAUCCAGCUUUUCCAGAUGGUUCAGCUGCAGUUCUGGGACCCUCGAGUCCCGGCUCCAAGGCUGAGAGGAUGUACAGCUUCGAGGUGGCCAGCUUCCUAGAGUCACCACUGUGCUUCAGUCCAUGGUGAGAGGACAGUCACCGGCUCCAGUUCACAACCCGCCCCUCUGGCUAAUGGCAGAAGGAUGAGAGAAGCCAGCCGAAAAGGUGAAAUUAAUGGAUCCCAGGAGCACAGCACACCUCAGAUGCUGGCUUAGGGCUGAAAGAACCAGUGUCAAGUCAGGCUCCUGAGCCAGGGUGGAUCUUCCCACCUACCGCCAUCACCACAACCCCAGUCAGAACUGGAGAACCUGACAGUGGUGGAGCUGGCCAAGGUGAGAGACGGUGCCCAGACCUUGACAGCCCAGGCUGCAGCUGACCAGCUUCCCCACAGGACGCUGACAAGCCAGCGAAGUUUUACCUGAAAGAGAAGGAAGGAGGAGAAUCAUCACUUCUGCCAGAGCACUGAAGCCACCCCUUAGGCCGGCCACACUGUCACUCUGUCCCCUUCCCCACUCCUGCUGUGUGAGCAGUCUUGUUCAUCACCAUUGUGGUCUCUACAGUCCUGAAGAAGGGACUUUCUUCAAUCAUGGAGCUUUUGAAAACCGAGCUGUCUGCAAGGCACAUUCCAUUCUUCGUGUAACUGUCCUUUGGCUCACACACAAGGCUUCCAGGAUCCCUCCCUCUCACACACAGCCCCCGCCUCUCUUAGAACACAUGCUCUUUUUCCCUCAAGUCCCUCUUUCCUAGUCCUCCUACAAGUUUUCAGGCCAAAGCAUCCAAAGGUAACUAUUUUAAAACCUUGUAGAGCCUGCAGUCUCUGUGUCAACUAUGAACCCUGUUGUCAUGACAAAAAAAAAAAAAAAAGCCAGACACAGCACAGAACGUCUGAGGAUGGCUGUGUUCAAACUUGAUGAUCUGUCAUCAACUUUUAUGCAUCCUGAAAUAUCCUUUUGGUUCUCUUUUCAAACAUUAAAAUGCAGAAAUCAGGGUUAGGCGUGCUGGCACAGACCUACAAUCCCAGCAGUUGGGAGGGGAAGGCAAGAAGACUGAGUGUGAGUGAAGCCCGGGUUGAGCAGGUGAGACUGGGGCGCACAUAAACCAAAGGUAGGGCUUGCACUCGGCUCUCAAGCUACUUUUACAGUCUGGGAGCCACAGUGUCUCCCCUUCCGCCCACUGAAUUAGCAGGAUAGGCGCUGUUGUGAGGUGAGGCCUGGUGGAAGACCUCCAGGUCAAGAGUGGGAAUUAUAGGACUCCAAUCUCCCCCUCCCUUUUGUUCCCUGGCUCAGAGGCUUUGUUCUACCACACCUGCUGAGAUGGGUUGCCUUACCAUAGCAGGGCAAACCAACCAGCGACUGAAACCUCUGAUCCUGUGAGCCAAAAUAAAUC
rnacentral:lncRNA from 1 species